rnacentral:RNase_P_RNA from 1 species
UGGGUCGGCAAGACGGCCGCGCUCGUGGGCUCCUCUCGGGGAACCCACGGUCGAGGAACGUCCGGGCUCCGCAGAGCAGGAUGGUGGGUAACACCCACCCGGGGUAACCCGCGAGAACAGUGCAACAGAAAGCAGACCGCCGGGUGCGAGAGCAUCCGGUAAGGGUGAAACGGUGGUGUAAGAGACCACCAGCGGCAGUGGUGACACGGUCGGCUAGGUAAACCUCGUCCGGAGCAAGGUCAAACAGGGAGCGUUACGGGCUGCUCGCCCAGCUCCCGGGUAGGCCGCUAGAGGCGUGCGGCAACGUACGCCGUAGAUAGAUGGCCGUCCAGCAUCCUCUCGAGGGUGUGAACAGAACCCGGCGUAUCAGCCGGCCCAUUCG